rnacentral:rRNA from 1 species
CAGCAGCCGCGGUAAUACGAAGGGGGCUAGCGUUGUUCGGAUUUACUGGGCGUAAAGGGCGCGUAGGCGGGCUGAUAAGUCAGGGGUGAAAUCCCAAGGCUCAACCUUGGAACUGCCUUUGAUACUGUUUGUCUUGAGUUCGAGAGAGGUAAGUGGAACUGCGAGUGUAGAGGUGAAAUUCGUAGAUAUUCGCAAGAACACCAGUGGCGAAGGCGGCUUACUGGCUCGAAACUGACGCUGAGGCGCGAAAGCGUGGGGAGCAAACAGGAUUAGAUACCCGAGUAGUCCCUGUCUCUUAUAC